rnacentral:rRNA from 1 species
GCAAGUCGAACGGUAGAGGAACUUCGGUUUCUUGAGAGUGGCGAACGGGUGAGUAACACUUAGAUGAUCUGCCUUGAAGUUUUGGAUAGCCUAUAGAAAUAUGGGGUAAUACCGGAUAAUACCUUAGAACUCUGGUUUUUUGGUGAAAUGGGCUUCGGCCUCGCUUUAAGAUGAGUCUGCGGCUUAUUAGCUAGUUGGUAGGGUAAAGGCCUACCAAGGCGACGAUAAGUAGCCGGCCUGAGAGGGUGACC